UUAUACUCAUCCUUUUAUACAUGCCACAUGAAUCUUGCUACAAUUUUAAAGAUAAAAAUGAAUUACCUUCCAAUACCUAUAAUAGCUUAUUAUGUUUUUAAUACACUUUUAUUUAUAAUUCGAAAAACAAACCACAAAAUGUUUAAACAUUUUCUAUUGAGUGAAAAUUAUAUAUUAUAUUACAUGUUAGGAUUUGGUUUAAUUUAUUUAAUUGACUAUUCAUAUACCAUAAUAACAAACAUUUGUAGAGAAUUAAACAUUACCUUUUUGUUUAAUAAGAGUAAAAGAGGUUAAAAAGAAAAGAAUAAUUCAAACAUAUAUGCAUAGUUUUUUAUAUACAUAAUUUUUUAUAUACAUUAUUUAUAUAUAAGUUCAGCUUGUUUAUGGCUUUCUAAACUUAACUGCAAUAUUAAUACGAGUGCAUAUGCAUAUAUAUAUAUCAAAUUUUUAAUUUUUCAUUAAUAUAUUUAUGAUCAUUGUUUUCAUAUUUUUACUAUUUUAUAUAUUUGCUUACAUCGAUGUACGCUGGUUAAACGCAUUUGAAAAAAAAAUAUAUAUAUAUAUAUAUACAUAUCAGUAUCUGUAUAGUUCUAAUAAUUUUUGUAAAAAUUAGUUUAUUUAUUUUUUUUUAAUAUUUUUUACAUAAUUUUCAUGCAUGUAAUUAUGUUUAUGUGUUCAUGUAAAUAUGAGCUGUGUCCUAAGUUCUAAUAAUAUAUAUACAUGUAUAUAAAGUUUAAAGUGCAUAAAGAAACAACUUUGUUUUGGAAUUAUUAAUUUACUUUUGAAACGAAUAGCAAA